rnacentral:rRNA from 1 species
AAUCAACGCUGGCGGCGUGCCUCAGACAUGCAAGUCGAACGAGAAAGUCCCCUUCGGGGGAUAAGUAAAGUGGCGCACGGGUGAGUAACACGUAGGUAAUCUACCUUCGGGUGGGGAAUAACCCAGGGAAACUUGGGCUAACACCGCAUAAUGCAGCGGCACCACAUGGUGACAGUUGUUAAAGCGGGGGAUUUUCGGACCUCGCGCCUGAAGAGGAGCCUGCGGCGGAUUAGCUAGUUGGAAGGUAACGGCUUACCAAGGCAACGAUCCGUAGCCGGCCUGAGAGGGCGGUCGGCCACACUGACACUGACAUACGGGUCAGACUCCUACGGGAGGCAGCAGUCGGGAAUUUUGGGCAAUGGGCGAAAGCCUGACCCAGCAACGCCGCGUGAAGGAUGAAAUCCCUCGGGAUGUAAACUUCGCAAGAAUGGGAAGAAUUAGCGNGCGCUAAUACCGCUCGUGAUGACGGGUACCAUUUGUAAGCUCCGGCUAACUCCGU